rnacentral:rRNA from 1 species
GAUGAACGCUGGCGGCGUGCCUAAUACAUGCAAGUCGAGCGAACAGACGAGGAGCUUGCUCCUGUGACGGUAGCGGCGGACGGGUGAGUAGCACGUGGAUAACCUACCUAGAAGACUGGGAGAAAUUCGGGAAACCGGAGCGAAUACCGGGGAAUAGAUUUAACCGCAUGGUUCAAUAGUGAAAGACGGUUUUGCUGUCACUUAUAGAUGGAUCCGCGCGGCAUUAGCUAGUUGGUAAGGGAACGGCUUGUCAAGGCAACGAUGCGUAGCCGACCUGAUAGAGUGACCGGCCCCACUGGCACUGAAACUCGUGCCCGAGUCCUCCGGGAGGCAGCAGUAGGCAUUCGUCAGCCAUGGGCGAAAGCCUGCAGUAGCAGCGCAGAGUGAGUUAUGACGGUUUACGGCUCCUAAAGCUCUGUUAUUAGGGCUAAACCUAUGUGUAAGUAACUAUGCACGUCUUGACGGUACCUAGUCAGAAAGCCACGGCUAACUGCGUG